rnacentral:tRNA from 1 species
CCUAGCGAAGUGCCAUUUGGUAGGUGCACCCGGUUGUUACCCGGGCCGUUGUAGGUUCGAAUCCUACCGCUAGAGCCA